UUCCAGGUAACUUAAUGGUAAAGCACCCAACCGGCAGUUGGGGGAUCUGGGUUCAUUUCCCAGCCCGGGCU
rnacentral:tRNA from 1 species